UGUCCUUUUCUCUGGUGCCAAUCGGUAGGCAGGAGGAAAUGACGCAGGACCCAACGGUUUACCGCAAAGUGAGUCGUAUCCGAUUUCCCACCGCCAAAAGGAGUCCUAUCUAAACCUUACCGAGACGUCGUCGAGACAGACCGAGUCUAAUCCCAGCCAGACAGAACCGUAUCCCAGCAGGACAGAAGCGCAACCCUUGCAAGAUCCGAACCCAACAAUCCAUCGUCAUCCUUCGACUUGGCCAUCGACAACAAGGACUUUCCCUAUGGCAAUCAAGGGAGGGGCUACGCGGGAUACUAGACUCUACAAAGAUCUCGUUUUUCUUAAGUUUAAGGAUAUACGCGUACAUAUAUUUAGAUAAUAGAUACAUAUCUUUUCCACCUGUUUUUUUAUUUAUACUAAGCUAAGUUUUUAUCAAUAAAACUAUUAAGAAAUA